UUUCCGUAGGUGAACCUGCGGAAGGAUCAUUAACACAAAGCUUGCGCGUAUUGUUGGCACUUUACCGUGUCUCUUAUGCCGCAUCUUUACACCCCCCUUUUGUAAACGUGUUUUUUUUCAUAUACUGUUUCAGUGAUGCCCGAGGUUCGUCCUCGUGGUAUUACUCAACACCAUAUCUAUUAAACCCCUUGAAUUUUUUAGACUGACAUCUGAACAUACUUAACUGUGUGUUCUGCCAUUAUAUCAAACGCUGAACAACUCUUAGCAACGGAUAUCUUGGCUCUC
rnacentral:misc_RNA from 1 species